GGGUUGUGAGGUUAAGCGACUAAGCGUACACGGUGGAUGCCCUGGCAGUCAGAGGCGAUGAAGGACGUGCUAAUCUGCGAAAAGCGUCGGUAAGGUGAUAUGAACCGUUAUAACCGGCGAUGUCCGAAUGGGGAAACCCAGUGUGAUUCGUCACACUAUCGUUAACUGAAUACAUAGGUUAACGAGGCGAACCGGGGGAACUGAAACAUCUAAGUACCCCGAGGAAAAGAAAUCAACCGAGAUUCCCCCAGUAGCGGCGAGCGAACGGGGAGCAGCCCAGAGUCUGAAUCAGCUUGUGUGUUAGUGGAACGGUCUGGAAAGUCCGACGGUACAGGGUGAUAGUCCCGUACACCAAAAUGCACAGGUUGUGAACUCGAAGAGUAGGGCGGGACACGUGGUAUCCUGUCUGAAUAUGGGGGGACCAUCCUCCAAGGCUAAAUACUCCUGACUGACCGAUAGUGAACCAGUACCGUGAGGGAAAGGCGAAAAGAACCCCGGCGAGGGGAGUGAAAAAGAACCUGAAACCGUGUACGUACAAGCAGUGGGAGCACCUUCGGGUGUGACUGCGUACCUUUUGUAUAAUGGGUCAGCGACUUAUAUUCUGUAGCAAGGUUAACCGUAUAGGGGAGCCGCAGGGAAACCGAGUCUUAACUGGGCGUUAAGUUGCAGGGUAUAGACCCGAAACCCGGUGAUCUAGCCAUGGGCAGGUUGAAGGUUGGGUAACACUAACUGGAGGACCGAACCGACUAAUGUUGAAAAAUUAGCGGAUGACUUGUGGCUGGGGGUGAAAGGCCAAUCAAACCGGGAGAUAGCUGGUUCUCCCCGAAAGCUAUUUAGGUAGCGCCUCGUGAACUCAUCUUCGGGGGUAGAGCACUGUUUCGGCUAGGGGGUCAUCCCGACUUACCAACCCGAUGCAAACUACGAAUACCGAAGAAUGUUAUCACGGGAGACACACGGCGGGUGCUAACGUCCGUCGUGAAGAGGGAAACAACCCAGACCGCCAGCUAAGGUCCCAAAGUCAUGGUUAAGUGGGAAACGAUGUGGGAAGGCACAGACAGCCAGGAUGUUGGCUUAGAAGCAGCCAUCAUUUAAAGAAAGCGUAAUAGCUCACUGGUCGAGUCGGCCUGCGCGGAAGAUGUAACGGGGCUAAACCAUGCACCGAAGCUGCGGCAGCGACACUAUGUGUUGUUGGGUAGGGGAGCGUUCUGUAAGCCUGCGAAGGUGACCUGUGAGGGUUGCUGGAGGUAUCAGAAGUGCGAAUGCUGACAUAAGUAACGAUAAAGCGGGUGAAAAGCCCGCUCGCCGGAAGACCAAGGGUUCCUGUCCAACGUUAAUCGGGGCAGGGUGAGUCGACCCCUAAGGCGAGGCCGAAAGGCGUAGUCGAUGGGAAACAGGUUAAUAUUCCUGUACUUGGUGUUACUGCGAAGGGGGGACGGAGAAGGCUAUGUUAGCCGGGCGACGGUUGUCCCGGUUUAAGCAUGUAGGCUGAUUGUCCAGGCAAAUCCGGAUAAUCAAGGCUGAGGUGUGAUGACGAGGCACUACGGUGCUGAAGUAACAAAUGCCCUGCUUCCAGGAAAAGCCUCUAAGCAUCAGGUAACAUCAAAUCGUACCCCAAACCGACACAGGUGGUCAGGUAGAGAAUACCAAGGCGCUUGAGAGAACUCGGGUGAAGGAACUAGGCAAAAUGGUGCCGUAACUUCGGGAGAAGGCACGCUGGUGUGUAGGUGAAGUCCCUGCGGAUGGAGCUGAGACCAGUCGAAGAUACCAGCUGGCUGCAACUGUUUAUUAAAAACACAGCACUGUGCAAACACGAAAGUGGACGUAUACGGUGUGACGCCUGCCCGGUGCCGGAAGGUUAAUUGAUGGGGUUAUCCGUAAGGAGAAGCUCUUGAUCGAAGCCCCGGUAAACGGCGGCCGUAACUAUAACGGUCCUAAGGUAGCGAAAUUCCUUGUCGGGUAAGUUCCGACCUGCACGAAUGGCGUAAUGAUGGCCAGGCUGUCUCCACCCGAGACUCAGUGAAAUUGAACUCGCUGUGAAGAUGCAGUGUACCCGCGGCAAGACGGAAAGACCCCGUGAACCUUUACUAUAGCUUGACACUGAACAUUGAGCCUUGAUGUGUAGGAUAGGUGGGAGGCUUUGAAGCGUGGACGCCAGUCUGCGUGGAGCCAACCUUGAAAUACCACCCUUUAAUGUUUGAUGUUCUAACGUUGGCCCCUGACCGGGGUUGCGGACAGUGUCUGGUGGGUAGUUUGACUGGGGCGGUCUCCUCCCAAAGCGUAACGGAGGAGCACGAAGGUUAGCUAAUCCUGGUCGGACAUCAGGAGGUUAGUGCAAUGGCAUAAGCUAGCUUGACUGCGAGCGUGACGGCGCGAGCAGGUGCGAAAGCAGGUCAUAGUGAUCCGGUGGUUCUGAAUGGAAGGGCCAUCGCUCAACGGAUAAAAGGUACUCCGGGGAUAACAGGCUGAUACCGCCCAAGAGUUCAUAUCGACGGCGGUGUUUGGCACCUCGAUGUCGGCUCAUCACAUCCUGGGGCUGAAGUAGGUCCCAAGGGUAUGGCUGUUCGCCAUUUAAAGUGGUACGCGAGCUGGGUUUAGAACGUCGUGAGACAGUUCGGUCCCUAUCUGCCGUGGGCGCUGGAGAAUUGAGGGGGGCUGCUCCUAGUACGAGAGGACCGGAGUGGACGCAUCACUGGUGUUCGGGUUGUCAUGCCAAUGGCACUGCCCGGUAGCUAAAUGCGGAAGAGAUAAGUGCUGAAAGCAUCUAAGCACGAAACUUGCCCCGAGAUGAGUUCUCCCUGAGACUUUAAGUCUCCUGAAGGAACGUUGAAGACGACGACGUUGAUAGGCCGGGUGUGUAAGCGCAGCGAUGCGUUGAGCUAACCGGUACUAAUGAACCGUGAGGCUUAACCUUACAACGCCGAAG
rnacentral:rRNA from 1 species